rnacentral:rRNA from 1 species
UUAUAAGGUUAAGUGAAUAAGGGCGCACGGUGGAUGCCUUGGCACUAGGAGCCGAUGAAGGACGGGACUAACACCGAUAUGCUUUGGGGAGCUGUAAGUAAGCUAUGAUCCAGAGAUUUCCGAAUGGGGGAACCCAGCAUCUUUUAUAGGAUGUUACGUAUACGUGAAUACAUAGCGUAUACGAGGUAGACGCAGAGAACUGAAACAUCUAAGUACCUGCAGGAAGAGAAAGAAAAAUCGAUUCCCCAAGUAGCGGCGAGCGAAAAGGGACCAGCCCAAACCAAGAUGCUUGCAUCUUGGGGUUGUAGGACUCCGAUAUGGUAGUUCUUUCAGAUAGUCGAAUGACUUGGAAAAGUCAGUCAAAGAGGGUAAAAACCCCGUAGACGAAAUUUGGAAGGCACCUAGGAGGAUCCUGAGUACGGCGGAACACGAGGAAUUCCGUCGGAAUCCGGGAGGACCAUCUCCCAAGGCUAAAUACUCCCUAGUGACCGAUAGUGAACCAGUACCGUGAGGGAAAGGUGAAAAGCACCCCGGAAGGGGAGUGAAAUAGAUCCUGAAACCGUGUGCCUACAACAAGUUAGAGCCCGUUAAUGGGUGAUAGCGUGCCUUUUGUAGAAUGAACCGGCGAGUUACGAUUGCAUGCGAGGUUAAGUUGAAGAGACGGAGCCGCAGCGAAAGCGAGUCUGAAUAGGGCGAAUGAGUAUGUAGUCGUAGACCCGAAACCAUGUGAUCUACCCAUGUCCAGGUUGAAGGUGCGGUAAAACGCACUGGAGGACCGAACCCACGUACGUUGAAAAGUGCGGGGAUGAGGUGUGGGUAGCGGAGAAAUUCCAAACGAACUUGGAGAUAGCUGGUUCUCUCCGAAAUAGCUUUAGGGCUAGCGUCGAAGUGAAGAAUGAUGGAGGUAGAGCACUGUUUGGACUAGGGGCCCAUCUCGGGUUACCGAAUUCAGAUAAACUCCGAAUGCCAUUCAUUUAUAUUCGGCAGUCAGACUGUGAGUGAUAAGAUCCAUAGUCGAAAGGGAAACAGCCCAGACCACCAGCUAAGGUCCCAAAAUGUAUGUUAAGUGGAAAAGGAUGUGGGGUUGCACAGACAACUAGGAUGUUGGCUCAGAAGCAGCCACCAUUUAAAGAGUGCGUAAUAGCUCACUAGUCGAGUGACCCUGCGCCGAAAAUGUACCGGGGCUAAACAUACUACCGAAGCUGUGGAGUACACCGUAAGGUGUAUUGGUAGGAGAGCGUUCUAAGGGCGUUGAAGGUAGAUCGUGAGGACUGCUGGAGCGCUUAGAAGUGAGAAUGCCGGUAUGAGUAGCGAAAGACAGGUGAGAAUCCUGUCCACCGAAUGACUAAGGUUUCCUGGGGAAGGCUCGUCCGCCCAGGGUUAGUCGGGACCUAAGCCGAGGCCGAUAGGCGUAGGCGAUGGACAACAGGUUGAUAUUCCUGUACCCGUUGUAUUUGUUUGAGCAAUGGAGGGACGCAGGAGGCUAAGAAGUGCAGACUGAUGGAUAUGUCUGUUCAAGCAGUAAGUCUUGAGAUGAGUCAAAUGCUUAUUUCUAUAAGGACAAGCUGUGAUGAGGAGGGAAAUAAUAGUACCGAAGCUUCUGAUGUCACACUGCCGAGAAAAGCUUCUAGUGAGAAGACAACGGCCCGUACCGCAAACCGACACAGGUAGUCGAGGAGAGAAUCCUAAGGUGAGCGAGAGAACUCUCGUUAAGGAACUCGGCAAAAUGACCCCGUAACUUCGGGAGAAGGGGUGCUGACCGCAAGGUCAGCCGCAGUGAAUAGGCCCAAGCGACUGUUUAUCAAAAACACAGGUCUCUGCAAAAUCGAAAGAUGAAGUAUAGGGGCUGACGCCUGCCCGGUGCUGGAAGGUUAAGAGGAGUGCUUAGCGUAAGCGAAGGUACGAAUUGAAGCCCCAGUAAACGGCGGCCGUAACUAUAACGGUCCUAAGGUAGCGAAAUUCCUUGUCGGGUAAGUUCCGACCCGCACGAAAGGCGUAACGAUUUGGGCACUGUCUCAACGAGAGACUCGGUGAAAUUUUAGUACCUGUGAAGAUGCAGGUUACCCGCGACAGGACGGAAAGACCCCAUGGAGCUUUACUGUAGUUUGAUAUUGAGUGUCUGUACCACAUGUACAGGAUAGGUAGGAGCCGUAGAGAUCGGGACGCUAGUUUCGAAGGAGGCAAUGGUGGGAUACUACCCUUGUGUUAUGGCCACUCUAACCCGCACCACUAAUCGUGGUGGGAGACAGUGUCAGAUGGGCAGUUUGACUGGGGCGGUCGCCUCCUAAAAGGUAACGGAGGCGCCCAAAGGUUCCCUCAGAAUGGUUGGAAAUCAUUCGCAGAGUGUAAAGGCAGAAGGGAGCUUGACUGCGAGACUUACAAGUCGAGCAGGGACGAAAGUCGGGCUUAGUGAUCCGGUGGUUCCGCAUGGAAGGGCCAUCGCUCAACGGAUAAAAGCUACCCUGGGGAUAACAGGCUUAUCUCCCCCAAGAGUCCACAUCGACGGGGAGGUUUGGCACCUCGAUGUCGGCUCGUCGCAUCCUGGGGCUGUAGUCGGUCCCAAGGGUUGGGCUGUUCGCCCAUUAAAGCGGCACGCGAGCUGGGUUCAGAACGUCGUGAGACAGUUCGGUCCCUAUCCGUCGCGGGCGUUGGAAAUUUGAGAGGAGCUGUCCUUAGUACGAGAGGACCGGGAUGGACUUACCGCUGGUGUACCAGUUGUCUCGCCAGAGGCAUCGCUGGGUAGCUAUGUAGGGAAGGGAUAAACGCUGAAAGCAUCUAAGUGUGAAGCCCACCUCAAGAUGAGAUUUCCCAUUUCUUAAAGAAAGUAAGAUCCCUGAGAGAUGAUCAGGUAGAUAGGUCAGGAGUGGAAGUACAGUGAUGUAUGGAGCGGACUGAUACUAAUCGAUCGAGGACUUAACCAAA